AUACGUAGGGUGCAAACGUUGUUCGGAAUCACUGGGCAUAAAGCGCACGUAGGCGGCCGAGUCAGUUCGGUGUGAAAGCCCCCGGCUCAACCGGGGAACUGCAUCGAAUACUGCUUGGCUUGAGGACGGUUGGGGUGAGUGGAACUCCUGGUGGAGCGGUGAAAUGCGUAGAUAUCAGGAGGAACACCAGUGGCGAAAGCGGCUCACUGGACCGUAUCUGACGCUGAGGUGCGAAAGCUAGGGUAGCGAACGGGAUUAGAAACCCCAGUAGUCC
rnacentral:rRNA from 1 species